rnacentral:rRNA from 1 species
AACGUAGGUGGCGAGCGUUAUCCGGAUUUACUGGGCGUAAAGGGUGUGCAGGCGGGCUGUUAAGUGGUGUAUGAAAUCGCCGGGCUCAACCGGGCGAGGUUAUGCCAGACUGGCAGUCUAGAGAGCGAGAGAGGGACGUGGAAUUCCGGGUGUAGUGGUGAAAUGCGUAGAGAUCCGGAGGAACCCCAGAGGCGAAGGCGGCGUCCUGGCUCGCAUCUGACGCUCAGACACGACAGCAUGGGGAGCAAACAGG